AGUGAACGCUGGCGGUAGGCCUAACACAUGCAAGUCGAACGGCAGCACAGUAAGAGCUUGCUCUUACGGGUGGCGAGUGGCGGACGGGUGUGGAAUACAUCGGAAUCUACUUUUUCGUGGGGGAUAACGUAGGGAAACUUACGCUAAUACCGCAUACGACCUACGGGUGAAAGCAGGGGAUCUUCGGACCUUGCGCGAUUGAAUGAGCCGAUGUCGGAUUAGCUAGUUGGCGGGGUAAAGGCCCACCAAGGCGACGAUCCGUAGCUGGUCUGAGAGGAUGAUCAGCCACACUGGAACUGAGACACGGUCCAGACCCCUACGGGAGGCAGCAGUGGGGAAUAUUGGACAAUGGGCGCAAGCCUGAUCCAGCCAUACCGCGUGGGUGAAGAAGGCCUUCGGGUUGUAAAGCCCUUUUGUUGGGAAAGAAAAGCAGCAGGUUAAUACCCCGCUGUUCUGACGGUACCCAAAGAAUAAGCACCGGCUAACUUCGUG
rnacentral:rRNA from 1 species